rnacentral:lncRNA from 1 species
UUGCUCAAACGUUUCCCGCGAAUCGUCCUCACACGAAUUCGGAUCCUCUACCACACAAUCAGCUUCUAAUAACGUCGCACAUCGCCAUACAAAAAGAAAGCAUACACCAAUAAAUAAACAUACACCAUUCAACAAACAAUGAAACAUACACUUUAUAAAUCAUAGAAGACAUCUAAAAAUAACACUUGAUUUGUAACUAUAAUAUAAGUCUAUCCAUGUCGAUGAUCAUCUCAUUUGUUAUGAGUUAAAAUACUAAUCAUUCAGUUUCGAGAAUUCAUUAGAGGAAUCUAUAUGGCAAAUUGACUAUGGAAGUAUAUACUAUAUAGAUUCAUUUAAAAAUACAUAAAUAUGGCUCUAAUUCAAUCUUUAUAGAAUCUAGAAAAUUAACCAAUUAAUUAUUGUAUUUCUAUCGAAAAAGAUGUGGGUAAUCUUUUAUUAUUUCUUUCUAAAAGAAAAUUAUCGUAGACGUUACAACCUUAUUUAAAAAGUCACAUAACCUUGAUAUUUAAGAGAACUAAAUUAACCUACCAAUUUAAUUCUACUAUUUAGUUUAUAGUGGACAUAGUCGCUAUAUUAUUUUAUUAAUCGAGGCUCUAGCAUGACUAGCAAUUUGCAUAUAAUCGCACAUACGAACACAUACGGUGUGACUAAAAUCUAUAAUUCAUCCUGAGCAAAGACAACCGUAGAAUUAUUCAUCUAGUAUUAUUGUUACAAAUAUAUGGUUUACCUAUCCCUUAAACUUUUACUCUAACAAACUAUAUUUAAAUUAAUGUCAACAAUCAUAAUUAAAUUAAAAUACACAAAGGUGAAAGACAGCAUACACUAAUUAAAAUAAACCAUCACAUACAUAUGAAAUUAAUCGUUCGGUAUACACUUGAUUUUUACACUAAAAGAAAAUAUACAACUAAAAUUACGUAACGAUAUAGAAAUUGGAUCGUGAUAGCACAUAAAAUCACAGGGGCUUAUUUUCACUUCCUUUUGAGCUGGAAAAAUUUGUCUAAAUAAUUUUUACACAGUAUUAGGGGCUAGAUUCAAUCGAGUUCACCUUGCUGUUACCUGCGCAGAGGUGGAUGGGACCACGGCUGGCGGCGUCGAGGCGAACCGGGGCGUUGCCGAGCACAGGAAAGUGGAAGAGCGGGCGUCCAAGGUCACGAGGAAGUCUUCACCGGCGGCGGAUAGGCUCUGAAACGGCACGACGGCGAAGGAUGAUGACGGCGGUGGCUCGGCUCCGUGAGCAGCACAUAGGACAGCGUGAGAGAAGAAAAGAGAGGCUAGUAACAAGCACGUAGAUCCGCGGUGUUCGAUUUAUAGGCUAGGAGCGAGGCUGAGAGACUAACGGACGCAGGUGGAGUUUUAUUGGUCAUUAAUGGCGGCGGCUUUACUACAGACGUUUGCGAGUCGUAAGUGGAGGAGAAACUGACGGCUAGCGGGAGAAGAGGAGCAGUGAUGGGGCAGCAUUAGUGGAGGAGAGGAGGGGAGGACCAGGCAUGGUGGGGCUGCUCCACCCUGGGUGCGCGAGAAGAUGAAGAUCCGGCCGGCCGGCGGCNN